GAAAGGCGGACCUGGGCGAGACCCACUGGAGCGACCGGAGGAGGGGCGAUGAGCCUACGUCAGGGGAAGGCUAUGGUGAUGGUAGAAGAUACCGCCAUUGAAAUUGGCUCCAUGAUUUCAGUGAAAACGAUGGGAUCCCAGAAUGACAAAGGCCAAGUGGCAACAAGAGACAAGAGACAAGUUACCUCCUGAGAUCCGGGCAUGGAUCAGUAAAAUCUCUCUGCGGUGGCUGCCAGCAAGUCUGUGCCUGAUUCGGCGCCUUUCUGAAAAGGAGGUGGGUCAAAAAAGAUCUUGCUGCGGUUUAUGUCAAAGAGUGUUCUGCCUAUACAAUGGAAUAUUACUCAGCCAUAAGAAGGAACGAAAUUGUGCCAUUUGCAGAGACGUGGAUGGACCUAGAGACUGUCAUACAGAGUGAAUCAGAAUGAACACAGUCUGUCUCAACACUGUUGUGGCAUGGUCUCAACUGAGUGACCUGGUACCAACCAGAAGACCACUGUCCUUAUGUCACAUAUAUCACCACCUAACGAAGAAGCACCAUAAGGGCAGGGGAUCUUACCUCUUGUUCACUGAUGUGCCCAAGAACCUGAACAGAGGCUGGCAUAUGGGAAAUUGGAAAAUCAUUCAAAGAACUUCAGGAAAUUAAGCAUUCUUGAAACACUGGCUUUUAUUCAUCAUCACUGUCAUCAUCAUCUCUAUCACUGUGCUUUUAAAUCCUUCUAUAAAUAAAUAAUCAAGUGGACUUCUGAUGUCAGAAAAGCAGAAGAUUACAUGCUGUUUUCCACAUUUACUGACAGUGUGUUGGAGCUUGAAUGUGAGGCAAACUCAAGUUUACUCGUAUUUGAAGGAAAUAAAUGCCACUCAGGACAUUUACCCUUUCCCUUCCACUUCUGUCCUGGGUAGCAUCUUCAAAUCUGAAGAUGAAGGGAAAGUAGAAACAACUU